AGUACUUAAUACGACGGAGUUCUAUCGUGUCUAAAGAACAAUCAUAUCAGGUAUGCAUUAAAAUAUGUCUAAUACUGCAUGUCACAUUGGUAUCGUCAAUUGACUAUUUGGAAUACAUUUCAUAAGAAUAAGUGCCCUAAACACACUUAUACUUAUACUGGAAUGUUCUAGUGUCUACGUCACCUUCAAGGUUGUUUACAGGGGACACUAUCAGACUCAACAUCUUAUUUUUCAAGACAUCAAAUCAAAUUUCAGAAUUAUCAAGUAUAUUUCACACCAAGGAGAGAAGUGAAUAUCAAAUUUUGAUUCUUCAUAUUAAGUCAAUUAAAUCACAAAUAUGUAAAUGGACAUGUGAGAUACAAGUUCAUGAGACAACAAUCCAAUGCGACAAAAAAAAAAAGAACAAAAUACUGUAACAUAUUGUGGUGACCACAGAUUACAGUCUUUACAAGCC
rnacentral:lncRNA from 1 species